GUGGCCUCAGGCCUUGGGGCUGGUGCUGGUUUCUCAGACUGGGUCUGGGGCUUUAGGCCCUGGGGCCGGUGUAGGCCUCUCUGGCUGUGACUUCAGGCCCUUGGGCCGGUGCUGGCCUUGCUGGUUGGGGCUUCAGGUGCCGGCCUCUCUAAGUUUGGCUGUGGCUUUAAGCCCCUGCACUGUUUCAAGCCUUUCAAGCUGUGCCUUUAGUCCCCAGGGCCUCUUUUGGCCUGCCUGGCUGUGGCUUUGGCUUUAAGCCCCAUGGCCGGCGUCAGCCUCUCAGGCUGUGGCUUUAGGGCCUGGGCUCAGUGCUGGCCUCUUUUUUUGUGGCUUUAGACCCCAGAGCUGGUGCCAGUCUCUCAGGCUGUGCCUGUGGCUUCAGGCCCCAGGGUCCGUGCUGGUUUGUCUGGCUGUGGCUGUGGCUUUAGGCCCAAAGCUGGUAGUGGCCUCUCCAGCUGUGGCUGUAGUUCCAGGCCCCGAGGCCGGUGCCGGUUUCUCUGUCUGUGUUUUUAGGCCACAGGGCUGGUGCCGGCCUCUCUGGCUGUGGACUUACGUCCCAGGGACCUUGCCAGCUUCUCUGGCUUUGGCUUUAAGCCCCAGAGCUGGUGCCGGCCUGUCUGGCUGUAGAUAUGGAUUCAGGCCCUGGGGCCAGUGUCCACCUCUGUGGCUGUGGCUUUAGGCCCUAGAUCUUGUGUCAGCCUAUAACAACGUGCAUUUGAAAAUGGUUCGUGUAAGGAAAUGAAAGCAAGAGAACACGGAGCUCUUCUGGGUAUUUCUAGAAUUGCGAAAGGGAUCGGAGAGCGUGCUCAGCCUUGGGUGGCUGGUUGUAUCCAGCAAUCCCUACCACAGUUGUAAACAUCACUAAAUCUUUGUUAUCCUGCUUGCCAGGAUUUGGAUGGGACAAGAAGCCAACGACUAUCAGUUUAGGGGAGGUAAUGAAUGUUAGCCGCUCCCCUUUGUUCACCCCUUGCUACUUAGGUUACACAGUUCUUCUGUGCGAUGUGCCGGUGCAAUACCUCUGAGCAACCAUUUUGAUGGGUUCAGCAAUGCUUGGGGCAACAGGCUUUGGUCAUCCUCAGAUCUACAUGACGAGAGAGACUGAAAGAAAAAUAAAAUAGGAGGUAAUAGUCCUUUCUCUUCUUCUAGUCAGAAGACUAACCAAACCUUCCAUACUACGUCUUUUGCCUUGAUAGGGGUGUUCCCUGAACCUCACAGCUUUAGCACAACACUUUCUGUUGAGAUUCCCGCCAACGGGGAAGUAUUAGUGCCAGUCCUCUGCCUCUUUUUGUUUCUGUUGUCUGGAUUUCAUUUAGUGGCCCAUGAACAGAGCCAGGAUAGCCAAGCCCUGCAGGUGGAGGCAGGGACCAGGCUCAGGAGCAAGGGCAGAGUGGUUUCUUUGUUUCUAAAGGGAAUGGCAGUGUUUUCUGCAGGUGGAUUUGCCAGCGCAUUGCACCUGCAC
ensembl:lncRNA